rnacentral:tRNA from 1 species
GCUGAAAUAGUUUAAUUGGUAAAACUUGCCAUUCAUGACGGCAAAACAAAGGUUCAAUUCCUUUUUUCAGCU